UGAGGUGUGAUGACGAGGCACUACGGUGCUGAAGUAACAAAUGCCCUGCUUCCAGGAAAAGCCUCUAAGCAUCAGGUAACACGAAAUCGUACCCCAAACCGACACAGGUGGUCAGGUAGAGAAUACCAAGGCGCUUGAGAGAACUCGGGUGAAGGAACUAGGCAAAAUGGUGCCGUAACUUCGGGAGAAGGCACGCUGAUAUGUAGGUGAAGUGAUUUACUCAUGGAGCUGAAAUCAGUCGAAGAUACCAGCUGGCUGCAACUGUUUAUUAAAAACACAGCACUGUGCAAACACGAAAGUGGACGUAUACGGUGUGACGCCUGCCCGGUGCCGGAAGGUUAAUUGAUGGGGUUAUCCGUAAGGAGAAGCUCUUGAUCGAAGCCCCGGUAAACGGCGGCCGUAACUAUAACGGUCCUAAGGUAGCGAAAUUCCUUGUCGGGUAAGUUCCGACCUGCACGAAUGGCGUAAUGAUGGCCAGGCUGUCUCCACCCGAGACUCAGUGAAAUUGAACUCGCUGUGAAGAUGCAGUGUACCCGCGGCAAGACGGAAAGACCCCGUGAACCUUUACUAUAGCUUGACACUGAACACUGGUCCUUGAUGUGUAGGAUAGGUGGGAGGCUUUGAAGUGUGGACGCCAGUCUGCAUGGAGCCAACCUUGAAAUACCACCCUUUAAUGGCUGGUGUUCUAACGUAGACCCGUGAUCCGGGUUGCGGACAGUGUCUGGUGGGUAGUUUGACUGGGGCGGUCUCCUCCUAAAGAGUAACGGAGGAGCACGAAGGUUAGCUAAUCCUGGUCGGACAUCAGGAGGUUAGUGCAAAGGCAUAAGCUAGCUUGACUGCGAGAGUGACGGCUCGAGCAGGUGCGAAAGCAGGUCUUAGUGAUCCGGUGGUUCUGAAUGGAAGGGCCAUCGCUCAACGGAUAAAAGGUACUCCGGGGAUAACAGGCUGAUACCGCCCAAGAGUUCAUAUCGACGGCGGUGUUUGGCACCUCGAUGUCGGCUCAUCACAUCCUGGGGCUGAAGUAGGUCCCAAGGGUAUGGCUGUUCGCCAUUUAAAGUGGUACGCGAGCUGGGUUUAGAACGUCGUGAGACAGUUCGGUCCCUAUCUGCCGUGGGCGCUGGAGAAUUGAGGGGGGCUGCUCCUAGUACGAGAGGACCGGAGUGGACGCAUCACUGGUGUUCGGGUUGUCAUGCCAAUGGCAUUGCCCGGUAGCUAAAUGCGGAAGAGAUAAGUGCUGAAAGCAUCUAAGCACGAAACUUGC
rnacentral:rRNA from 1 species